rnacentral:tRNA from 1 species
AGAAACUUAGGAUAACCACUUUAAACCGAAGGCCUUCAAAGCCUUAAAUAAGAGUUAAACCCUCUUAGUUUCUG